AUAGUUUAAAGAAUAAUGUAAUGGCAGAAAGUCGCCUCGUAGAUGUUUAUACAUUUUGUGUAUUUUUGUUCUGCCCUGCUAAAAUCAAAUUAGUUUUCAUUCGGGCUAAGUGUUUGCUCUCAAACAUGGUUCGUGCGCUUAAAAGCAUUAAACUAUAUAAUUUAUUUAUUUUCAAUUAAAUUCUAAGCAGAUUUGCAGCUCCAUAUACCGCCGCCGCCCCUUCGUUGGGACUUUCUCUUGAUUUUGGGUUUGGGAAAUGCCUUUAUUUUUGGUCAAUUUUGCGCAACAAUUAUGUGAACCCACGAACUUUGUCCGGGGACUCCUCGGAAUACCCGCUGAGAGCCAUGGCUCAGUGCCGGCUCGGGCCCUUCCUUCACUCGAUGGCAGCUCCCGACAACGUCAAAUGAUUUAUUCAAUUUGUGCCAUGAAGCGUAAACUUUUUGUUUGCCUGUUGGCCUCGUUGUCUGGCGCUUGUUGCUCCUCUCCUCCGCCGCUUGCUGGGGCUGCGGAAGUUGCCUGUGUGAAUCAAUCCGCCAUCACAGGACACAGAACGGCCACCGCCACCAUUCCAGCAGUUCCAAUUUAAAUAGUUUUUCCACAUGACAAUGGCCCAGGCUGUAUUUUGCUGCUGCAUAUCUCACUCUUUUUGCCCCAGCUGGACAAAAGGUCAAACUAGAUUUGAAUAUUUUACUUGAUUUUAUGUGUGUGCAACUGUGCGACAUGUUGCGGUUAAUAAAGAUGAGACAGAUAGGAUUGAAAGCACAGACAGAACAAAUGCUGGAUAAACAGGAGUUAACUAUGGGUAAGUAACUUCAGGAAAAUAGACCGUUUAGUUAUACAAAAUGUAAAUGUUUCCAUUAUUUUCAGUUCUGAUUAUAGUGUAGAAUGUGACACAUAAUUAGAUGCUUGCCAAGUUUAACUUUUGCAGUGUAGAAAAGCGUUAAGUGUUCUCCGUCUCCGUCAACUUUUCUCUGCUUUUUGUUCUGUGAGUUGUGUGAUAUAAUUUGCUUUUCGCUUGCUACCAAUUUAUUGCCAAUUAUAAUUACAACUGUUUGGGUUGUUCUGCCAGAUAAAAUGCUCAAAAUUAUUGCAUUUUUCAGCUUCAUUUGUUUACGACUGCUUUUCACUUUCUUUCAUGCUGUGCUCCUCUCUCCAUUCGCCAAUAUUUAACGACUGUUGGUGGAAAAAGUUUUCUUUUUACAACGAUAUUAAGUUAAUUACUUUUGCUGGUGCCCACAUCUGGAUGGUUGGAGCAGAGUAGAGCGGAGCGGAGUGUGUCUUGAGAUAUUUUGAGCUUGGUCGGGUGUUUAUGGAAUGCCUGUGGACUCAUAAUUAAUAAGCAUUUAGUUGGACACACCUCGAGCACAGGUCGCACAGUUGGGGUCUUCAAUGAUGUUGUCAAGAAGCGUGAGCUGUAAAAAGUGUAUUUCAUAUUUGAUUUUUAUGAUGCAUUUCGCACGCCUUCCCAUUGAAGGGCGAACGUGCCUGCCAGCCAGCCACUCGCUGAUGAUUUCACCAACCUUCCAACCUUACUCCAGCCCAGACCAAAGCUGAGCGACACUGAAGAAGAGAAAACACUUGGAUUGGAGUUGACUCAACCGAUGAGGAAGUCUCUUGAGGAAGGUGCCAAAGUGAAACUGCCAUAGCUAAUCAAAAGUCUGUAAUUAGCCGAAAUUCAAGUGCAGGAAUACCGCUAUGGAUGGCUUAUGGGCAGUUAUUGUGGGCAUUGGGAGUAAAUGAGUUAAUUUGAUGAUAAGAUAUUAUCGGCUAAGAUGGCUCGUGAAAUGGGAUCAUCAAAGAGUACCAAUAAUGGUUAUAUGGGGUGUGAUAUGAAUGAGAUCAGAGGGAGAAAUCUGUGUGGAAAGUGUAAGUCAGGUAAAAGAGACAUCUUACCGAAGAGAGUGCAAGAAUAUUCAAGGGAUCAAUCCAUGGACUUGUUUAAGUAUUUAUAAUAUUUUCUAUUAUAUUUAUUUCAUAUUUUUACACAAUUUCUCAUCCUUUCACAGUCCCAAAAAUAAUGCAAUUCUCCCCUCAAACACACAAAUUUUUACAACACAGACCCCCCAUUGAAGCAGACAACUUGUGUCCACUUCUGGAGAGUAGCGCCUGUCAAAGUAUCGCAAAAUGUGUUGCUCAUAUAAAUUUCAUUUAUGCCAGUUAAAUUAAUUACUGUCAACACAUGCGAGGCGGCGGCAGCAGCAGCAACAAUAACAACCGGAGAGGCAGCCACAGCAAAAACAAUUGCCAAUCAGCCACAAAAACUAAAGCAGGCCAAGCCAAAAGUCCAACAGCGAAGACGCAACUCGGUGGAGAGUAGCAGUGGUGGCAGUGGCAGCGCCAGUGCGAGGGUCUCGAGCCUCGAGAGUCCGAGCGUGUUGCGAACAUAAACACAAAGUCAUAAAGUUUUUACACAAAAACAUUUAAUUUUAUUGCAUUUUUGGGCAGCAGCCAGACCCGACAAGAGCAGUGCAGAGCAGACCAGUGACCAGAGGCAGUCCGCGCCCGAGCCCCGGCCAGACGACGGCACUGAAACAAUGCACCAAAAAGGAUGGGUAAAGGGGGAAUCGGCAGGCGGACAGUGUGGGUAGAGUAGGGGGUGUGCCGAUGGUUGAGCAUGGUCUGCUGGCCAGGCCAACUUAAUUUGCCGCAAAUCGAGCAAAACUGCAGCCAAACAGAAGCAAACGAACAGGAGCAUACACACACACACACAAUUUUUGGCUGACCGGGAACAUUUUUCAAAAAUAUAAUAAAACACAAAGAUAUAGUUAGAGCGCCAUUGAACAUUUUCUGAAUACCUUGUAUUCAAUUACUUUAUUGAACGAAAUGUUGUUCGGGAUCUGCAGAUGACAUUCGGCAGUAGAUCAUUGCAGAUCAUGUUCUCGAAUGGAAGAUCAUUUUAUCUUUACAUUUGAUGGCCUACAAUAGGAUAAGUUUAUCAAGUUGAAACAUUUUCUUCAGCCAAUCGACUACGCCACACGAGUACAGGGUAUACAGCC
rnacentral:lncRNA from 1 species